rnacentral:rRNA from 1 species
UGAGUAACCUGCCCUAAACUCUGGGAUAAGCCUGGGAAACUGGGUCUAAUACCGGAUAUGACUCCUCAUCGCAUGGUGGGGGGUGGAAAGCUUUAUUGUGGUUUUGGAUGGACUCGCGGCCUAUCAGCUUGUUGGUGAGGUAAUGGCUCACCAAGGCGACGACGGGUAGCCGGCCUGAGAGAGUGACCGGCCACACUGGGACUGAGACACGGCCCAGACCUCCUACGGGAGCAG